UACGUAGGGUGCAAGCGUUGUCCGGAAUUAUUGGGCGUAAAGAGCUCGUAGGCGGUCUGUUGCGUCCGCUGUGAAAACUCGGGGCUUAACCCCGAGCCUGCAGUGGAUACGGGCAGACUAGAGGUAGGUAGGGGAGAAUGGAAUUCCCGGUGUAGCGGUGAAAUGCGCAGAUAUCGGGAGGAACACCGGUGGCGAAGGCGGUUCUCUGGGCCGUACCUGACGCUGAGGAGCGAAAGCGUGGGGAGCGAACAGG
rnacentral:rRNA from 1 species